rnacentral:rRNA from 1 species
AACUUUCAACAACGGAUCUCUUGGUUCUGGCAUCGAUGAAGAACGCAGCAAAAUGCGAUAAGUAAUGUGAAUUGCAGAAUUCAGUGAAUCAUCGAGUCUUUGAACGCACAUUGCGCCCGCCAGUAUUCUGGCGGGCAUGCCUGUUCGAGCGUCAUUUC